UGUUUGUUGUGAUGAAUCACAAGGACGGUAUCUGAGUAAGGUGGCUCUUGUGAAAGGCCGCCUUCCUUGAUUACGCAUCCUAAACUGAUCAAAUGUUCCGAGCAAACA